AUGUCAAUCGCUGAAAUGUAUGCAGAUCUCCCAGCGAACACGCCUUUAACUGUGUUUGGACAACGUUGCACUAAUCUAGAGAGGCGGAAAUACAUAUUCCAGCAUGGCUUUGCAACUGACCCAUGGGUGAAUGGAGUUGUGCCUCGUCCACCACAUGCGCCAACCACAGAUCUCAUUGUCACCCACUUCUCACAGCUGCCACCGCCGGACUUGGAGAGGCACUACAUCAUACAUGCUAAUCCUAGGUUUGUCCGUGUUUCGGGGAUGGCUAUGCGUGAACAGCUAAUCGGCACGGAGCAUCUCCACCACGAGCUCGUGUCUUUAAUCAUGAGAAGAUAUUCUCAAUCUGAUCAAGAAGCCAACUCAGAAAGCCCAUACAUGAAUUGGAGGCACAACAUGGAACCUGAUUUUGCGACCAUUGUCUUGGCGGACCAUGAAUAUGUGACAAACAUUUCGAUUCAGAAACAGCUGGUUGGGAAGGACAUCCCGUACGACAUAACCUCUUCCCAGAUGUUCUUCUUGCCAGUCCCAUUGGAGGACGGCUGGAUCAUACUCAUGUGGGACAUGAUGGCAAGGAAGCUGCAUGUGCUUGACCCACUUAUUUGA
rnacentral:rRNA from 1 species